UUAUUUAUGGAUGAAGAGUAUGUAGAGCUAUAUUCUGAUAUUACGAACUUACCAUCGUUGAAUUUAAACAACCAAAUUAAAGCUGUGAUACGAAAUCUUUAUAACAAGUACAAUAAUAGUGUUCAAUUUGAUGUGAAGUUACGUUCUAUGAAGAAAGAGUUUGCAAGUAUGAAUAAACCAUAAAAGAUGAACAAAUGAAUGAUAGUUGCUAAAACUCCGUUAGUUGAAUCUUUUUUGAUGUCGCAAAU
rnacentral:lncRNA from 1 species